AUAACUUCGGGAAACCGGAGCUAAUACCGGAUAAUAUAUUGAACCGCAUGGUUCAAUAGUGAAAGACGGUUUUGCUGUCACUUAUAGAUGGAUCCGCGCCGCAUUAGCUAGUUGGUAAGGUAACGGCUUACCAAGGCAACGAUGCGUAGCCGACCUGAGAGGGUGAUCGGCCACACUGGAACUGAGACACGGUCCAGACUCCUACGGGAGGCAGCAGCCC
rnacentral:rRNA from 1 species